CCAAAUGUCUAUCGUUUCUUACGGUAAAGAGAAACCCGCAGUACUGGGUCAUGACGAAGCCGCAUGGGCUAAAAACCGUCGUGCCGUACUGGUUUACUAAGAGAUUUAUAUGAUUAGUAACUUCAGACUUCAUACCCUGAGUC
rnacentral:sRNA from 1 species